rnacentral:rRNA from 1 species
GACGAACGCUGGCGGCGUGCCUAAUACAUGCAAGUUGAGCGCUGAAGGUUGGUACUUGUACCAACUGGAUGAGCAGCGAACGGGUGAGUAACGCGUGGGGAAUCUGCCUUUGAGCGGGGGACAACAUUUGGAAACGAAUGCUAAUACCGCAUAAAAACUUUAAACACAAGUUUUAAGUUUGAAAGAUGCCAUUGCAUCACUCAAAGAUGAUCCCGCGUUGUAUUAGCUAGUUGGUGAGGUAAAGGCUCACCAAGGCGAUGAUACAUAGCCGACCUGAGAGGGUGAUCGGCCACAUUGGGACGGAGACACGGCCCAAACUCCUACGGGAGGCAGCAGUAGGGAAUCUUCGGCAAGGGACGAAAGUCUGACCGAGCAACGCCGCGGGAGUGAAGAAGGUUUUCGGAUCGUAAAACUCUGUUGGUAGAGAAGAACGUUGGUGAGAGUGGAAAGCUCAUCAAGUGACGGUAACUACCCAGAAAGGGACGGCUAACUACGUG